AAAAACCGGUAAGAGUUGAAGUGUAGUUAAGGUCGAGCGACUCGAGCCUAAUGUACACAAUACACAAGAUCGAAUAGCCCAAAGUUUAGGGCGGGAGACUUCACUCUUUCUCUCUCCUCAGUUUCUUCAAUUACAUGUCAAUUACAAUCAACAAAUCCAAGAGCUUCAGAUCAAACUCUGAUCCAUUUUUUGUCAGUUGAAUUCGUUGAUUAAUUUUCUGGGCAAAUCCAAUAACCCAAGUGAGCCCAACUUUAAACUCAAUUAGCACCGCCGAGGUGGGACCCAUUAUUGGUGUUGGGGCUCAGGUUUAAUGCUCUCAAAGUACUGCAAUUUAUGGCGCCAAAUCUUCUCGUGAUUUUUUGGUAGCUGACUAUUUUUUCUGGAAAUGGAUCGUUCUUGGAUGUAUGGUAAACGCAACACACGUGAAUUCUUGGACGGGGUUAAGGAGUUCUGUAGAUGUGCUAAAGAGCACCAAAAGAGUAGUGGAGAUGAUGAAAUUUACUGCCCUUGUCGUGACUGCUUCACUGUAAAGAAAUUUAGUGAUAUUAAAAUCAUAGAAGAACAUUUGAUUCGUCGUGGGUUUAGGCAAGCGUACCAUGUGUGGCUUUGGCAUGGUGAAAGACUAGCUUCUAGGGAAACUUCUAGUGUACAUGAUAUUCAGCUGGAGGAGAGUGAUGAAUCUGAUGAGAGUGAACGUGAGAGCUGUGAGAGUGAUGUAGGGGAUGAAGACAAUGAUGACGAGGAAGAUCACAUGGAUGAGAUGAUGGAUGGGGUAGGGGAUCAUUUAAAUGAACGAGACAACAAACGAAGUAGGGGUCCAUCGAAAGAGGUUCAAGUCAAAGAGCCUAUGUUUCUUGAGUAUGAUGAUCUUGGUCAGCCAACAGGUGAUUGGGAGCACGUGUAUGGGAGACAUCUUGGCUGCUGUGCUAAAAAAAUUAACAUUAAUGUCAAGCGGUAUCGAUUAGUACCUGAAGCCGACAAGCAAAAAUUUUGGGAUAAGACAAAGGCUUUGUUCCACAUUGAAGAUGGUCCGAAAAAGGAAAAGGAAAAGUUGUUUCAUUCUGGAGUGGCCAACCGAUUCAGAGGUUUUAAGGCAAAGUUAGUGAGUCGUUGGAUCACUAAGACAAGGAAGCCUCCGGAAAAGAGUGCACACUUAAUGCCCUGGGAAAUUUACAAGGGAUUCAUCACGAAAGCGGACUGGAAAAAAUUUGAAGGAGAUCGUACCACUGAUGAGGCAAAGGCUAUUAGUGACAAGGCAAGGAAGAACGCAAUACAGAACAAGUACUAUCAUCACUUAGGGUCAAAGAGUUACAAGAGGAGCAAAGCACAGUGGAUCAAGGACGGAAGGUACCCUACUGACACCGAUGGAGCACCAUCUUGUAGAAUAGCUAAGCGAGGCUUGGAAUGGAUUUUGGCAAGACAAGUGCCUGGUGAAGGAGGAACUUGGGUUAUCACAAACGAUGAAACACGGAAAGUUGCCAAAAAAUAUGAGGAUUAUACGCAAAAGCAGGCCCAAGGGACUUUUAUUCCACAGAGGAAUGUGGAUGCCCUGUGCAUGGCUCUUGGGAAAAAAGAUCAUUCUGGCCGUGUCUAUGGAGUAGGGGGACUUAAUGUUGGCUAUUGCAAGGCCUUUGGCAAGCCAGAUCAAAAGGUCUCUGAAUUGAACCAAAGUCAGCAAUCAUUGGAGGAAAUGAAGGAGGCAAUCAAAGCUACCUUGGUAGAGGAAUUUGAACAGAAGCUGAAAGAUCAAGUCGAAAUGCAGGUCAAGCAGGCACUGGCCUCCAUGAGGCCGCAAUUGCCCCAAGUCACCAGUUCCAAUCUACCACCACCUAUGUUGAAGGCUUUGAAAACAUGUCGUCUUGCUGUGUGGGAUGCCUACUCUGGGAACAAAGUUGUUGUAGCAGGUGGUACGGCAUAUCCCUAUGGUGAUGGGCCAAUGUACAAUCAAUCGAUCAAGCCUGGCCACAUGAAGGUAUGUAUCAAUGAUCCUUACAGUGAUUUUGUCGAUGUUGACCUCCCGGUACCUACGGAAGAAGGUGUCACUAAGAUUGGUGAAGCUCGAGACAAUUUCGUGCAAUGGCCCGCAGCCUUGGUGUUGUUUGAAGACGAGGAGGCCACACCAGAAAAAAGGUGUGAAGGAAGCAGCAAUGAAAAACUUGAUAGCAGCGAUCUUCAAUUGCAACAAGUUGGGGAAGACAUGGUUGCUUCCAUUGGUGAGAAAAGUAAGCUGUUGCAUUUGCAACUUGUCAUGGCAAGUCAACCUGAGCGGUAUGAUGUCACAACGGUUCCGUUGGAUGCAAAAGUGUUCCACUUAGAAAAGGACACUGAAACUUUUAUCACAGUGGAGGACAUCACUCUGUUACUCAGAGGGGCAAGGCUGAGCAUUUCCAUUGUUCAGGUCUUCAUGAUGUUUCUAAUUGACAAAUACAUCUCUUCUUUUGAUUUGUCACAUAUUGGGUUUCUUUGUCCCCAAACAAUUGCUGCAUCUAAUGUCCGUCACCAGAAUCACCAACAUCAGGUCACUGUAGACUACAUAAGGGACGUUUUCUUAUCCAGUAGGGAUAGAGGUGAUGCUGGAUACCAACUCAUAUUGGCUCCAUAUUAUGAAGAGGAGCACUGGAUGCUCAUUGUGAUCAACCUUACAUGUGGCAAAGUCUUCAAGUUCAAUUCCUCCAAGGCUAAAAAGGGGAGAUCUUUGGCCAUAAAAGGCUGUUUAGAUAUGGCUUACAAAGUCUACAAGGGUCAGGGUAGAAAGGGGCGCAAACCUAAGCUGAAAUGGUCUUCUAUUAAGUGUGCUCAACAAACUGGUGAUACUGAGAGUGGCUGUUAUGUCAUGAAAUUUAUGCAUGAGAUAGUCACAUUAUACGGUGAUUGUCAAAAUAUGGAUAAGGAGUAUCAGAGACGAGAUGAGCCCUACACUGAUGAGGAAAUCAAUGAGGUUCGAGAGCAAUGGGCGAUCUUUUUUGGAGACAAGUAUUUGUGAAAAACCUACAUAGUUGGCAUCCUUGACGACUUUUUGUAAAUAUCUUAAUCUCAAGGUUUUGCUGAAUUUCCCCCUUAAAUGUAGAGUUAAUGGUGGUGCUAGGAGACUUUUGGGGUUAUGAUGGUUUUUCAGGGAGGCAGUUCCCGCCUUCCCGGCGGUUGAGGAAGAGGGUGGUCUUGGUGGAGCUGUGUCAUUUUUAAAAAAUAUAAUCAGCUAGGAUUGAUUUUCUGUAGCAUAACCCUAUGGCCUGCGCCAAGUAAGCUCAUCAACUAGCAAAAACCAGACCUUUUGCUAUAGAAUUUAGGCAUUACAUUCUCUUAGGCCAAAAGAUCAUGGACUUGUUGCUGCCACUUGUGUACAGCUGGCCGAGCCUGCAGUUUUCAAAUUAAUGCUAGGUGCAAUUGAUGUUAUUUCUACUGGUGGUACACUGUACACGGCUACCUCUGACCUCAAUCGUGCUAUGCUGUAGUUUUAGAGAAACAAUACUCAUAUUAUCAUAUGUAUGGAAUUAUGGGUAUUUAAAACAUAUUUUAUCA